UACGGAGGGUGCGAGCGUUAUCCGGAAUUACUGGGUUUAAAGGGUGCGUAGGCGGCGCAGUAAGUCAGGAGUGAAAGUUUGCGGCUCAACCGUAAAAUUGCUUUUGAUACUGCUGUGCUAGAAUUAGGAUGAGGUCAGCGGAAUGUGGCAUGUAGCGGUGAAAUGCAUAGAUAUGCCAUAGAACACCAAUUGCGAAGGCAGCUGGCUAGACCUAUAUUGACGCUGAGGCACGAAAGCGUGGGGAGCGAACAGG
rnacentral:rRNA from 2 species